GGCUUUAGGAGAAGCCCUGUUUGAUGAAGAGCUCGGCAAACCUAUAGGGCAGAUUGUUGCCGUAUGCGGCCGCAACCAGAUACUGAGUUCCACAUUGCAGUCAAUUAAGUGGAGGGUCCCUGUGAAGAUUAGAGGAUUUGAGACCCAGAUGGAGAAAUGGAUGGGUGCUUGUGAUUGUAUCAUAACAAAGGCAGGGCCUGGUACAAUUGCUGAGGCAUUGAUCAGGGGACUUCCUAUCAUCCUCAAUGACUUCAUACCUGGACAGGAGGUUGGCAAUAUCCCAUAUGUAGUAGACAAUGGAGCUGGAGCUGGACUCUUGGCGCUUCCGUGAUUGCAGGUGCCUCCGGUUCCGACUUCACAAAUUACAUAUAGAUAGUUUAAUAUGUUUGAUGUGUAAGCAAGGUAAUCAAAAAUACCUUAUUAUAUAUGAUGAGACAGUAAUUGUACAAUAUAUUCUUUUUCUUUCCCUAUGUUAACUAGAUAUUUACAUCAGAAAGAAAAACUUUAACCAGAUAUUGGCCUUCAUUAUUCCUAAAGAGUCCUAUAUACAUCUCAAAUCAUAAGUUCGAAGGGGCAUCUUUCAAAGUUAUGAUUAUUACAUAUUUUGCUAUUUUUCAGAGGGCAAGGCAUGAAAAGCUUACUCAGAAACUUAGAAUUAUUAUUAUGCUACUUCGGAAGGAAGUUAUUGAAAUGGCCUAGCUGCCAAAUAGAUAUCCACUUGCUAUGAAAAUAAUUGCAUUUUAAUUUCUGCAUGACAGCAAUUUGUUACAUUAAUCUCAUCAUAUAAGCUUGUCUUUCAAAUUAUAGGAAAGGAAGCAUCAGUGAUUCGGCAUAAAGUUUUAACUUCUUUGACUUUUUGUAAAACAAUAAGCCACAAGACAACU